rnacentral:rRNA from 1 species
UACGUAGGGGGCUAGCGUUGUCCGGAAUCAUUGGGCGUAAAGAGCGUGUAGGCGGUCCGGUAAGUCCGCUGUGAAAGUCGGGGGCUCAACCCUCGAAUGCCGGUGGAUACUGUCGGGCUAGAGUGCGGAAGAGGCGAGUGGAAUUCCCGGUGUAGCGGUGGAAUGCGUAGAGAUCGGGAAGAACAUCAGUGGCGAAGGCGGCCUGCUGGGCUGUUGCUGACGCUGAGGCGCGACAGCGUGGGGAGCAAACAGG